UUCUUCGUUCACUUGGCCCUACUAUACACAUGUAUACCCACCGCCAGGCGGCGCUCCCUUCAGUUUAGCGGGAGAUUUGUAUUACAAGUGGCGGCCAUUUUGUUUGUUUACGGAAACGUGAUGAAAGCUUAGACCUAGAACAAAACCACGUUAUAUAUACAGUACGGUAUAUAUUGGCGACAUUUAAUUUCCCCACUCACGGAAUACAAUCGACAAACUGGGAACAGAAUAUCAAAUUUCGUCUAGCUUUUGGCGACUUAUGAUACCCCUUUCACCGGCAAACACUGAAUUAUCGGACAACAUGAAAUCAGGGACUAAAUUCACCAGCAUUCAUGAUCCUCGGACCACCCGCCCCCUACGCACAGCCGAUUUAUAAAUGUUGCAUCUUUCAAUCAGUGUCAAUCCCAAGAAGAACCCUGAUCAGCUCCUGGAAAAAUCAGUGUUCGUGCAGUAUUGUCAGUCAAAUCUCAAGGAAAGGAUCGAUAUCCCAGAAGAGGAACAUUUACAUUAUUUCAGACUUUUUUCUUUCCUGUGUAACAAUGCCUAAAACAGCUAACACAUUUUAUAUAGUAUACAAUACAAUGUGUAUUAAUAACAGUCCAGUUAGAGUGCUGUGUUAUGCAGUAAAAAUACUUAAUUCUUGAUGACAUUUUGGUUUUAUGUUUACAUUAAACGGUAGUUAUAAUAUAUACUAAAGAAACAUAGUGGAUAAUGCCUUGUACAGGAGCAGGAGUAUGACAGUGUAAUAGUACAUGACUGCUGCGUUCAUCCUUGGAAGGAGUCUGUUAUUCGAAAUAAAGCUUUCCAUGAGGACGAAAAA